UACGUAGGUGGCGAGCGUUGUCCGGAUUUAUUGGGUUUAAAGGGUGCGCAGGUUGUUUGAUAAGUUAGUGGUGAAAGUCUGUCGCUUAACGGUAGGAUUGCCAUUGAUACUGUUGGACUUGAAUAUGGAUGAGGUAGGCGGAAUGUGUAGUGUAGCGGUGAAAUGCAUAGAUAUUACACAGAACACCGAUUGCGAAGGCAGCUUACUAAUCCAUCAUUGACGCUGAGGCACGAAAGCGUGGGGAUCAAACAGGAUUAGA
rnacentral:rRNA from 1 species